rnacentral:tRNA from 1 species
ACCUGGGUGGCUCAGUCAGUUAAGCAUCUGACUUCAGCUCAGGUCACGAUCUCAGGGUUGUGGGAUCGAGUCCCACAUCGGGCU